GUCUCCAUAGCUAAGUGGUUAUAGCAUGCGAUUGCAGCUUAAGUUAUCGCAGGGUCCCGUGUUCAAAUCACGGUGGGGACU
rfam:Neolentinus lepideus HHB14362 ss-1 unplaced genomic scaffold NEOLEscaffold_20, whole genome shotgun sequence.